GUGGAUAUGGCCGAGUGGUUAAGGCGACAUGCAGCCUUGAAACCACCUGUUGGGAUAUUCCCGCGCAGGUUCGUAUCCUGCCGACUACG